CGUGUGAUUGCUGGAUCAUAUGGAAAGAGUAUGUAAGUUUUGUAAGAAGUGGCUAAACUGUCUUCCAAAGUGGCUGUGCCAUUUGGCAUUUCCAUCAGAAGU
rnacentral:pre_miRNA from 1 species